UUCCGGUUGAUCCUGCCGGAGGCCACCGCUAUUGGAGUCCGAUUAAGACAUGCGAGUCGAGAGCUUUCGGAGCUCGGCAUACUGCUCAGUAACACGUGGGUAACCUGCCCUAUGCUGGGGGAUAACCUCGGGAAACUGAGAACAAUACCCCAUAGUCCACUACGCCUGGAACGGUGAGUGGAUAAAAGCCCCGGCGGCAUAGGGUGGGCCUGCGGCGUAUCAGGUAGUAGGGGGUGUAAAGUACCCUCUAGCCUUCGGCGCGUACGGGUUGUGAGAGCAAUAGCCCGGAGAUGGAUUCUGAGACACGAAUCCAGGUCCUACGGGACGCAGCAGUCGCGAAACCUUGACAAUGCGGGAAACCGUGAUCAGGGGACUCCAAGUGCCAGGAGUAAGAUCCUGUGCUUUUCUUUUCUCUUCAAAGGAUUUGGAAUAAGAGGUGGGUAAGGACGGUGCCAGCCGCCGCGGUAAUACCGGCGCCUCGAGUGGUAGUCGAUUUUAUUGGGCCUAAAACGUCCGUCGCCUGUCUGGUGUAUUCGUGGGUAAAUCAACCCGCUCAACGGGUUGAAUUCUGCGAGCACGGCCAGACUAGGGACCGGGAGAGGUGUGGGGUACGCUCGGGGUAGGGGUAAAAUCCUGUCAUCCCGAGCGGACCACCUGUUGCGAAGGCGCCACACUAGAACGGAUCCGACGGUCAGGGACGAAGCCUAGGGGCACGAACCGGAUUAGAUACCCGGGUAGUCCUAGGUGUAAACGCUGUGGACUUGGUGUUGGGAACUCCCAGAGGGCUCUCAGUGCCGUAGCGAAGGUGAUAAGUCCACUGCCUGGGGAGUACGGUCGCAAGGCUGAAACUUAAAGGAAUUGGCGGGGGAACACCGCAACCUGAGGAUUGUGCGGAUUAAUUGGAUUCAACGCCGGA
rnacentral:rRNA from 1 species